UACAGAGGUGGCAAGCGUUGUUCGGAAUUACUGGGCGUAAAGGGCGCGUAGGCGGCCUUCUAAGUCAGACGUGAAAUCCCCCGGCUUAACCUGGGAACUGCGUCUGAUACUGGGAGGCUAGAGUGCGGGAGAGGGAUGCGGAAUUCCAGGUGUAGCGGUGAAAUGCGUAGAUAUCUGGAGGAACACCGGUGGCGAAGGCGGCCCGCUGGGCAGUGGCUGACGCUGAAGCGCGACAGCGUGGGGAGCAAACAGG
rnacentral:rRNA from 1 species